rnacentral:rRNA from 1 species
GACGAACGCUGGCGGCGUGCUUAACACAUGCAAGUCGAACGGAAAGGCCCUGCUUUUGUGGGGUGCUCGAGUGGCGAACGGGUGAGUAACACGUGAGUAACCUGCCCUUGACUUUGGGAUAACUUCAGGAAACUGGGGCUAAUACCGGAUAGGAGCUCCUGCUGCAUGGUGGGGGUUGGAAAGUUUCGGCGGUUGGGGAUGGACUCGCGGCUUAUCAGCUUGUUGGUGGGGUAGUGGCUUACCAAGGCUUUGACGGGUAGCCGGCCUGAGAGGGUGACCGGCCACAUUGGGACUGAGAUACGGCCCAGACUGCUACGGGAGGCAGCAGUGGGGAAUAUUGCACAAUGGGCGGAAGCCUGAUGCAGCAACGCCGCGUGCGGGAUGACGGCCUUCGGGUGGUAAACCGCUUUCGCAGGUGACGAAGCGUGAGUGACGGUAAUGGGUAAAGAAGCACCGGCUAACUACGUG